GGCCUCAUUGAGGAAGAAAAGAAAUUGCUAUGGCUUGUUCAAGGUUAGCGUUCUUGAUUCUAAUGGUGGUGCUCGUCGGAACCUCCGUGGCACAGUCACCUGCAUCAUCACCAGUAGCUUCCCCGUCUAAAUCGCCGGUAGCGACUCCAUCACCUGCAUCUUCUCCAACGUCACCAGUAUCUGCGCCUUCUCCAUUGAAGGCUCCAUCGGCAAAUGCACCUUCACCAGCUACUAUUACCUCUCCUCCUUCUCCUCCUCCGUCUUUGUCCUCUCCUGCUCCUGGUACAAGUGCUUUCCCUCCU
rnacentral:lncRNA from 1 species